rnacentral:rRNA from 1 species
UCCAGACUCCUACGGGAGGCAGCAGUGGGGAAUAUUGCACAAUGGGGGGAACCCUGAUGCAGCGACGCCGCGUGGGUGAAGGAGUAUUUCGGUAUGUAAAGCCCUCUCAGCAGGGAAGAACAAUGACGGUACCUGACUAAGAAGCACCGGCUAAAUACGUGCCAGCAGCCGCGGUAAUACGUAUGGUGCAAGCGUUAUCCGGAUUUACUGGGUGUAAAGGGAGCGCAGGCGGCGCGUUAAGCCUGGUGUGAAAGCCCGGGGCCCAACCCCGGGACUGCACUGGAAACUGCCGGGCUGGAGUGUCGGAGGGGCAGGCGGAAUUCCUAGUGUAGCGGUGAAAUGCGUAGAUAUUAGGAGGAACACCGGUGGCGAAGGCGGCCUGCUGGACGACGACUGACGCUGAGGCUCGAAGGCGUGGGGAGCAAACAGGAUUAGAUACCCCUGUA